UUGGACGAGCCCAGCUAGAGGCCACGCCCACGAAGCUCACGGGCGCCAUUUUGCAUCCUCUGCCUGAGUUCCCCUCGUCUUCAGCCUGUUCAGAAGGCCAACUGAACCGGCUUUUUUGUUCCAUGGUGUCAGCCCAAGUGUCUUCGGGGAGGCCCCUGCCCCUGAGUUCCAGACUCAAAUUCUCGUUGUUGCCCGUCAACUGUUGCCCACAGCUACUGGACAAUUACGAGUUUUACAUUCGUAGGUAAAACCGUUAGAAUCAAAAGAACUGCUACGUUUCCAUUUCAGCUCCAUUAACGUCGCUUUGUUUUGAAAAUAAAAAAAGUUCUUUCCAGCUUAUCUGUUACCUCUGGCAGAAGACUGCGUUCAGAAACCACCCCCUCAGGCAAUAAGGACUGCCCUGAGCCAGCAAGACCCCACGUGACUGACUCGAAGACCAGGAUAGACUUGACCUUUACUGUCCACCUGUCUGUACUCACUGGCCUUUGUCCCACAUUUUCCUUAUACAAAUCUGUAUUUUCAGCACUUUGUAAAUCGCUUUUGAAAGGCUAGUCCACUGUCUUCCCGGUGUUGGCCUCAAGGAAAUAAAUUCCUUUCUGCUUCACCA